UACGAAGGGGGCUAGCGUUGUUCGGAAUUACUGGGCGUAAAGCGAACGUAGGCGGUGUUCCAUGUCAGAGGUGAAAGCCUGGGGCUCAACUCCAGAAUUGCCUUUGAAACGGGGACGCUUGAGUCCGAGAGAGGAUGGCGGAAUUCCGUAGUGUAGAGGUGAAAUUCGUAGAUAUUAGGAAGAACACCGGUGGCGAAGGCGGCCAUCUGGCUCGGUACUGACGCUCAGGUUCGAAAGCGUGGGGAGCAAAGCAGG
rnacentral:rRNA from 1 species